rnacentral:rRNA from 1 species
CCUACGGGAGGCAGCAGUGGGGAAUUUUGGACAAUGGGCGCAAGCCUGAUCCAGCAAUGCCGCGUGAGUGAAGAAGGCCUUCGGGUUGUAAAGCUCUUUUGUCAGGGAAGAAACGGUGAGCUCUAAUACAGUUUGCUAAUGACGGUACCUGAAGAAUAAGCACCGGCUAACUACGUGCCAGCAGCCGCGGUAAUACGUAGGGUGCAAGCGUUAAUCGGAAUUACUGGGCGUAAAGCGUGCGCAGGCGGUUUUGUAAGUCUGUCGUGAAAUCCCCGGGCUCAACCUGGGAAUGGCGAUGGAGACUGCAAGGCUAGAGUUUGGCAGAGGGGGGUAGAAUUCCACGUGUAGCAGUGAAAUGCGUAGAUAUGUGGAGGAACACCGAUGGCGAAGGCGGCCCCCUGGGUCAAAACUGACGCUCAUGCACGAAAGCGUGGGGAGCAAACAGGAUUAGAUACCCUGGUAGUCCACGCCCUAAACGAUGUCUACUAGUUGUCGGGUCUUAAUUGACUUGGUAACGCAGCUACGCGUGAGUAGACCGCCGUCGGGAGGUACGGUCGCGAGAAGUAAACGUAACGAAGAAAGUAGUACGGCGUGAGACGUGCCGACGGACGACGACGAGGGAGGAGG